ACGCUGGCGGCGUGCCUAAUACAUGCAAGUCGAGCGGACAGAUGGGAGCUUGCUCCCUGAUGUUAGCGGCGGACGGGUGAGUAACACGUGGGUAACCUGCCUGUAAGACUGGGAUAACUCCGGGAAACCGGGGCUAAUACCGGAUGGUUGUUUGAACCGCAUGGUUCAGACAUAAAAGGUGGCUUCGGCUACCACUUACAGAUGGACCCGCGGCGCAUUAGCUAGUUGGUGAGGUAACGGCUCACCAAGGCACGAUGCGUAGCCGACCUGAGAGGGUGAUCGGCCACACUGGGACUGAGACACGGCCCAGACUCCUACGGGAGGCAGCAGUAGGGAAUCUUCCGCAAUGGACGAAAGUCUGACGGAGCAACGCCGCGUGAGUGAUGAAGGUUUUCGGAUCGUAAAGCUCUGUUGUUAGGGAAGAACAAGUGCCGUUCAAAUAGGGCGGCACCUUGACGGUACCUAACCAGAAAGCCACGGCUAACUACGUGCCAGCAGCCGCGGUAAUACGUAGGUGGCAAGCGUUGUCCGGAAUUAUUGGGCGUAAAGGGCUCGCAGGCGGUUUCUUAAGUCUGAUGUGAAAGCCCCCGGCUCAACCGGGGAGGGUCAUUGGAAACUGGGGAACUUGAGUGCAGAAGAGGAGAGUGGAAUUCCACGUGUAGCGGUGAAAUGCGUAGAGAUGUGGAGGAACACCAGUGGCGAAGGCGACUCUCUGGUCUGUAACUGACGCUGAGGAGCGAAAGCGUGGGGAGCGAACAGGAUUAGAUACCCUGGUAGUCCACGCCGUAAACGAUGAGUGCUAAGUGUUAGGGGGUUUCCGCCCCUUAGUGCUGCAGCUAACGCAUUAAG
rnacentral:rRNA from 1 species